rnacentral:tRNA from 1 species
CGCGGGUUAGAGCAGUGGUCAGCUCGUCACUUUGACUUGGUGAAGGCCGGUGGUUCGAAUCCAUCACCCGCAACUA